rnacentral:rRNA from 1 species
CAGUGGGGAAUAUUGGACAAUGGGGGAAACCCUGAUCCAGCGACGCCGCGUGGGUGAAGAAGGCCUGCGGGUUGUAAAGCCCUUUCGGUAGGGACGAAAGCUCUCGACCUAACACGUCGGGAGGUUGACUUAACCUACAAAAGAAGCACCGGCUAACUCUGUGCCAGCAGCCGCGGUAAUACAGAGGGUGCGAGCGUUAAUCGGAAUUACUGGGCGUAAAGCGCACGUAGGCGGCUUGGUAUGUCGGGUGUGAAAUCCCCGGGCUCAACCUGGGAACUGCAUCCGAAACUGCCUUGCUCGAGUAUGGGAGAGGGAAGUGGAAUUUCCGGUGUAGCGGUGAAAUGCGUAGAUAUCGGAAGGAACAUCAGUGGCGAAGGCGACUUCCUGGACCAAUACUGACGCUCAGGUGCGAAAGCGUGGGGAGCAAACAGGAUUAGA